rnacentral:rRNA from 1 species
CCUACGGGAGGCAGCAGUGAGGAAUAUUGGUCAAUGGGCGCGAGCCUGAACCCGCCAAGUAGCGUGAAGGAUGACUGCCCUACGGGUUGUACACUUCUUUUAUAAAGGAAUAAAGUGAGGCACGUGUGCCUUUUUGUAUGUACUUUAUGAAUAAGGAUCGGCUAACUCCGUGCCAGCAGCCGUGGUACUACGUAGGAUACGAGCGUUAUCCGUAUUUAUUGGGUUUAAAGGGAGCGUAGAUGAGUUGUUAAGUCAGUUGUGAAAGUUUGCGGCUCAACCGUAAAAUUGCAAUUGAUACUGGCAGUCUUGAGUACAGUUGAGGUAGGCGGAAUUCGGGGUGUAGCGGUGAAAUGCUUAGAUAUCACGAAGAACUCCGAUUGCGAAGGCAGCUUACUAAACUGCCACUGACAUUGAUGCUCGAAAGUGUGGGUAUCAAACAGGAUUAGAUACCCCUGUAGUC